ACGGCAGCACGGGAGCAAUCCUGGUGGCGAGUGGCGAACGGGUGAGUAAAGUAUCGGAACGUGCCCAGUCGUGGGGGAUAACGCAGCGAAAGUUGUGCUAAUACCGCAUACGAUCUAUGGAUGAAAGCGGGGGAUCGCAAGACCUCGCGCGAUUGGAGCGGCCGAUAUCAGAUUAGCUAGUUGGUGGGGUAAAGGCUCACCAAGGCGACGAUCUGUAGCUGGUCUGAGAGGACGACCAGCCACACUGGGACUGAGACACGGACCAGACUCCUACGGGAGGCAGCAGUGGGGAAUUUUGGACAAUGGGCGCAAGCCUGAUCCAGCAAUGCCGCGUGCAGGAUGAAGGCCUUCGGGUUGUAAACUGCUUUUGUACGGAGCGAAAAGGCUCUCUCUAAUACAGGGGGCUCAUGACGGUACCGUAAGAAUAAGCACCGGCUAACUACGUGCCAGCAGCCGCGGUAAUACGUAGGGUGCGAGCGUUAAUCGGAAUUACUGGGCGUAAAGCGUGCGCAGGCGGUUUUGUAAGACAGAGGUGAAAUCCCCGGGCUCAACCUGGGAACUGCCUUUGUGACUGCAAGGCUAGAGUACGGCAGAGGGGGAUGGAAUUCCGCGUGUAGCAGUGAAAUGCGUAGAUAUGCGGAGGAACACCGAUGGCGAAGGCAAUCCCCUGGGCCUGUACUGACGCUCAUGCACGAAAGCGUGGGGAGCAAACAGGAUUAGAUACCCUGGUAGUCCACGCCCUAAACGAUGUCAACUGGUUGUUGGGAAUUAACUUUCUCAGUAACGAAGCUAACGCGUGAAG
rnacentral:rRNA from 1 species